UGCUUGGUCAUACCAGCACUAAUGCACCAGAUCCCAUCAGAAUUCCAAAGUUAAGCGUGCUUGGGCGAGAGUAGUACUAGGAUGGAUGAAGCAUUGUUUCAUCAUUCAAGCAU
rnacentral:rRNA from 1 species